rnacentral:rRNA from 1 species
AGCGAACGCUGGCGGCAGGCCUAACACAUGCAAGUCGAACGAACUCUUCGGAGUUAGUGGCGGACGGGUGAGUAACACGUGGGAACGUGCCUUUAGGUUCGGAAUAACUCAGGGAAACUUGUGCUAAUACCGAAUGUGCCCUUCGGGGGAAAGAUUUAUCGCCUUUAGAGCGGCCCGCGUCUGAUUAGCUAGUUGGUUAGGUAAAGGCUCACCAAGGCGACGAUCAGUAGCUGGUCUGAGAGGAUGAUCAGCCACAUUGGGACUGAGACACGGCCCAAACUCCUACGGGAGGCAGCAAUGGGGAAUCUUGCGCAAUGGGCGAAAGCCUGACGCAGCCAUGCCGCGUGAAUGAUGAAGGUCUUAGGAUUGUAAAAUUCUUUCACCGGGGACGAUAAUGACGGUACCCGGAGAAGAAGCCCCGGCUAACUUCGUG